CAGUGGCCAACAGAUCGCCAGAUCGUUCCAGCUGCAUUGGCGGGAUUUCGCCGUCUUCGUUUCUCUUUCUUCGCGGACGAACACGCGCUGGGCCUGCAACGGCAGGAUCCAGGGUCCUUAACGGGAUGUGCGUUAGGGGCUUGUAGCUCAGUUGGUUAGAGCGCGCGCUUGAUAAGCGUGAGGUCGGAAGUUCAAGUCUUCCCAGGCCCACCACUUUCAUCGAGUGAGCAUUCGUCUUCUGGUUACGGGGCCAUAGCUCAGCUGGGAGAGCGCGUGCUUUGCAAGCAUGAGGUCGUCGGUUCGAUCCCGUCUGGCUCCACCAGAUGGUUUGAUCACCGAGAUCUUGACCGUCGUCCGCGAAACAUCACUUCGCAUCCUGCUAGUCUGGAUAGACAGCAGUUUGCGUGUUUUCUGACAUCGUAAAGAGGAGAUCGAUCCGAGUUGGGUCGUGCAGCAUAUCGUUGCGCGAGCCUUCAUUAUCUCCGGAUCAUUUCGGCGCUCGCUUCCAGCCGUGAGGUUGGAUGCGGGUUGUAAAUGAUCCUUUUAGCGAAGCUUGACCGCCUCGCUAUCGGAACGAUCUUACGAAGCAAGCUGGUCUUUCUAGUCAAUGUCCGGCUGCGGAUAGCGUUCAUCGAGGGCGCGUGCCGCAAGGCAAUUCUGCAGACAACAUUCUGCCGAGUGUGUGGACAUUGAUAAUGAGAGCAAUCAAGUGCCUUAAGGGUGUUCGGUGGAUGCCUUGGCGCUGAGAGGCGAUGAAGGACGUGCUACGCUGCGAUAAGCCGGGGGGAGCUGCGAAGAAGCUUUUGAUCCGCGGAUUUCCGAAUGGGGGAAAACCC
rnacentral:misc_RNA from 1 species